ensembl:lncRNA
UGAGACUAAUAAACCCACGAGCUGACAGGUCCAAACAGGCCUCAGAGAGGAUUUGAGAGCCAGGGCCCAGGCCACAGUGUGGAUCACAGCUCCAUGCCUGGGCCGGGCCUCCUUUAUUAUUCCGGAGGCGUCAGGCAUGGGGAUGGAGGACUCUGGGUUGUUAGCUAUGUGGCCAGCGGGCACUGUCCAAGUGGCAAAUGGAGAGGUGGGACCGAAGAGGAGCAGAAGCUGAGAGGCAGAAAACAAUCAGCAGUUUAUCUGGGCUCACAUCCUUUCAAGAAGUGGGACAGGAGUCUGGACCCAGGUCUGUGCUGGAGACUUGAGAAAGACUUCAAGCAGAAGGGACUCUGAGCUGAAGACAAGAGGGAGGAAGAGAAACAGGCUCUGCAGAGCGAAUUUAGGCCAAGAAAAAGUAGGAAAGAAGGUGUCCUCUACAGCGUGAGGGGGAUUACUGUGAGAGGGACAGCACCAAAGAGCCCUCAAGGUCCACGGCCCUUUUCCAUCUGCCGCCUCAGCUGAGUCAGGUCCAGCUGCCCUAUGGAAAACCUGCUUGAGUUCUCGCGAGAAGUCCGCUCUCAGGGAUGUGAGAACUGCGCUUCGGAAGUGUCCUGGGUCACGCCUACUUCUCUGGCCGUCUCGGGUGCCCCAGACUUCUGCCUCAGAUGGGGAGGGGGACGCAUGUAUAGAGAUGGUAACAAUCCAGGUGGAGAUUCGACUGAAUAUCUGUACAAAAGAGACUGGAUUCAUCUAAACUAAUUUACAACAGAAGAG